UGGAGAGUUUGAUCCUGGCUCAGAACGAACGCUGGCGGAAGGCUUAACACAUGCAAGUCGAGCGCACUCUUCGGAGUGAGCGGCGGACGGGUUAGUAACGCGUGGGAACGUACCCUUUUCUAAGGAAUAGCCACUGGAAACGGUGAGUAAUGCCUUAUACGCCCUUCGGGGGAAAGAUUUAUCGGAGAAGGAUCGGCCCGCGUUAGAUUAGAUAGUUGGUGGGGUAAUGGCCUACCAAGUCUACGAUCUAUAGCUGGUUUGAGAGGAUGAUCAGCAACACUGGGACUGAGACACGGCCC
rnacentral:rRNA from 1 species